rnacentral:rRNA from 1 species
GACGAACGCUGGCGGCGUGCUUAACACAUGCAAGUCGAACGGAAAGGCCCUUCGGGGUACUCGAGUGGCGAACGGGUCAGUAACACGUGGGUGAUCUGCCCUGCACUUUGGGAUAAGCCUGGGAAACUGGGUCUAAUACCGAAUAGGACCACGCGCUUCAUGGUGUGUGGUGGAAAGCUUUUGCGGUGUGGGAUGGGCCCGCGGCCUAUCAGCUUGUUGGUGGGGUAAUGGCCUACCAAGGCGACGACGGGUAGCCGGCCUGAGAGGGUGACCGGCCACACUGGGACUGAGAUACGGCCCAGACUCCUACGGGAGGCAGCAGUGGGGAAUAUUGCACAAUGGGCGCAAGCCUGAUGCAGCGACGCCGCGUGAGGGAUGACGGCCUUCGGGUUGUAAACCUCUUUCAAUAGGGACGAAGCGCAAGUGACGGUACCUAUAGAAGAAGCACCGGCCAACUACGUG